rnacentral:lncRNA from 1 species
AUGGGUUACUUCUCAUCCAGUGUGGUUUUGCUUGUUGCCAUUUCCAAUGCAUUUGAAUUUGGACCCUUUGCUGGGAUGGAGACUUUGUCAUCAGAGAUAAUAGCAUUUGGAACCAGAAAGAAACUGCCAUAUGCCAUCGGUCUUUCCAGUUUGUGCCUUCUGUGGGGAUACAGAACAGUAAGUUGCUUAAUAAAACUUGCUGUCUGAAUGGAGGGACCUGCAUCCUGGGGUCCUUCUGUGCCUGCCCUCCUUCUUUCUAUGGAUGCAACUGUGGACAUGUUGUAUGCAAAGAGCACUGUGGGUCUAUCCUCCAUGGCACUGGCUGUGUUCCCUGUGCAGAUGCUGGCACGCCAGCUCCACUAUUUUCCUCAGACCUUUCUACCUGGCUGUGAUGGUCACGUGAUGGAACAGAAUCUCAAAGCAUCCAGGGCUCCAUGUCAAACACCGUCUGUGCUGACCACUUUUAUGUUAGCUGGUGCCUGCCUUUUUCUAGAAUAUUUUUUUA